rnacentral:misc_RNA from 1 species
CCGAGUACCGGGUCUCUCAGGCCCUUACUCCCACCCAAUGUGUACCUUACCAUUUUAUUCGUUGCUUUGGCGGGUGCGUCAACCCUUUACGGGGCGGUCCCUCGCCAAAGGAACACCUUUAAACUCUUGUCAACUGUGUUGUCUGAGAAAAAAACAAAAUAAAUUA